GACGAACGCUGGCGGCGUGCCUAAUACAUGCAAGUAGAACGCUGAAGGAGGAGCUUGCUUCUCUGGAUGAGUUGCGAACGGGUGAGUAACGCGUAGGUAACCUGCCUGUUAGCGGGGGAUAACUAUUGGAAACGAUAGCUAAUACCGCAUAAUAGUAGAUGUUGCAUGACAUUUGCUUAAAAGGUGCAAUUGCAUCACUACCAGUUGGACCUGCGUUGUAUUAGCUAGUUGGUGGGGUAACGGCUCACCAAGGCGACGAUACAUAGCCGACCUGAGAGGGGGAUCGGCCAAACUGGGGCUGAGACAAGGCCCAGACUCCUAAGGGAGGCAGCAGUAAGGAAUCUUCGGCAAUGGACGGAAGUCUGACCGAGCAACGCCGCGUGAGUGAAGAAGGUUUUCGGAUCGGAAAGAUCUGUUGUAAGAGAAGAACGAGUGUGAGAGUGGAAAGUUCACACUGUGACGGUAUCUUACCAGAAAGGGACGGCUAACUACGUG
rnacentral:rRNA from 1 species